GACGAACGCUGGCGGCGUGCUUAACACAUGCAAGUCGAACGGAAAGGCCCUGCUUUUGUGGGGUGCUCGCGUGGCGAACGGGUGAGAAACACAUGAGUAACCUGCCCUGGACUUUGGGAUAACUUCAGGCAGGUGGGGCUAAUACCGGCGAGGAGAUCCUGAUGCAGGGGGGGGGUCGGAACGCUUGGGCGGAGGGGGAUGGAGGCGCGGGUUAUCAGCUUGUUGGGGGGGGAGUGGCUUACCAGGGCAUUGGCAGGUAGCCGGCCUGGGAGGGUGGCCGGCCACAUGGGGACUGCGGUACGGCCCAGACUCCUACGGGAGGCAGAAGUGGGGAAUAUUGCCCAAUGGGCGGAAGCCUGUUGCAGCAACGCUGCGUGCGUGAUGACGUCCUUCGGGUUGUAAACCGCUUUCGCCUGUGACGAAGCGUGAUUGACGGUAAUGGGUAAAGAAGCACCGGCUAACUACGUG
rnacentral:rRNA from 1 species